UUGUAUAACGGAGAUGCCUAGGGCUGUCGCUGACCUUCAUGGGUCGUGCACGCCCAAGGCUGCUCUCUCAUAUCCAUCUCACCCCUUUGUGCAUCACCGCGUGUGCUCCCCUAUCGGGUUUGUUCCGAGGGGUGGUUCACGUUUUUACACAGACACCAAUUUUUAAAAGCAUGUGUAGAAUGUCUUACUUUUUGCGAUCACACGCAAUCAAUA
rnacentral:misc_RNA from 1 species